UGGGGAAUAUUGCACAAUGGGGGAAACCCUGAUGCAGCGACGCCGCGUGAGCGAAGAAGGUUUUCGAAUCGUAAAGCUCUGUCCUAUGAGAAGAUAAUGACGGUAUCAUAGGAGGAAGCCCCGGCUAAAUACGUGCCAGCAGCCGCGGUAAUACGUAUGGGGCGAGCGUUGUCCGGAAUUAUUGGGCGUAAAGGGUACGUAGGCGGUCUAUUAAGUCAGGUGUGAAAGCGUGAGGCUUAACCUCAUUAAGCACUUGAAACUGAUAGACUUGAGUGAAGGAGAGGAAAGUGGAAAUCCUAGUGUAGCGGUGAAAUGCGUAGAUAUUAGGAGGAAUACCGGUGGCGAAGGCGACUUUCUGGACUUUUACUGACGCUCAGGUACGAAAGCGUGGGGAGCAAACAGG
rnacentral:rRNA from 1 species